UCCCUGAGUUCCUGCCCUGACUUUUCUCAGUGAUGGACUGGGACAUGGCAACAGGAAUAGGAUUUAAAACAAUGAAAAUGAAAUUUACUUCAUCAUUUGCUUAACAACGUCCUCACCCAAAUUAGACUGAGAUUAUUGAUGACCAAGGCGACAAGGAUAGGUGGGUCUCAAAAGUCAAAAGGCAUUUGAAAAGACAAAACUCUGCGUGCAGGAGAUGGUUGGAAGCAACUGCUCCCAGUCAGGCAGCUUCUGGAGUCCUCUUCACAAGGGGAACCACACCCUUUCAAAGGAAUCGAAGCAAAAGUUGGACCAGAGGCAUCUCACUGUUCUGGGAUGUUUGGGAGGAAUCAGAGCUGUGCAGGUCACAUUGUGACAACAUCUAGAGAGAUCUUCCAGCUCAAGCUUAGUUAUAAGCCAAGGAGACAUCAUCGGUGCCAACAGGAUGUCCAGUGCAACCUCAUGUAGUUCUCAGACCUUCUCUGACCCACAGGCUAUCUGUGGAACCAAGAGAUUAGGUUAACUGAGAUGGAUGGAACCACCCUCAGUGGGUACCAGCAUGCCAUGGGCUGGGGUCAUGAGCUGGAUAAAGAGGAGAGAGCAACUGCAAACAAGCAUUCAUGGCUCUCCGCUUCCGCCUGUGAUGUGACCAGCUGCCUCAUAUCCACCAUAUCUCCCCACCCUGAUGGAUUGUACCCACUGGAAUCGUGAGCCCAAAUCCACUUUUUCUCCCUUAGGUUGCUUUUGUUGGGUAUUUUGUCACGGCAGUGAGAAAAGUAACUAAGACAGCAGAUAAGUGAUUAGUUCAGAGAAGCAUUUUGGUCACCUAAUGGAAACUCUCUUCCUACAUGAGGCCCACUCUCGCCUUAAACAAGUUCAAUAGAUUUUUAAUGCUAGCAGGUAAGAGGGUGACUAGAAUCCAACACAGUGCCUACGAGGCACUCUAUAUACCAGUCAAAGAAAUAUAUUACAAAGUUCUGGAAGUUGAUGGCAACAGACUCUUCUGGUACUGAGAGCUUAAGACUUGGCCCGUGGAUUUGGCUGUCUUUCUUCAUACCAGAUUCUCCCUGAAGCUGAGUCCUUCUUCAGUCAACUCAGAGGUUGCUUUUUUAAAGCUUGGUUUAUAGAUCACAUUCUUAUCUCUGUCACCUUGUAAUGACAAAGCCUAGAUAGAAGGAUAUCAUAGCUCAUAUGUAAAAACUGGGUCACUUUCAAUCUGAUAUAUGGGACUUGUCCAAGGAAAGACCAUUUAGUAGUCUUAACACAAGAUUUAAAAAGAGAUACUUACCUACCGGUUCAGGAUAUUAUAAUGCCAUGCCAAGUGUUUCAAGCGUCUUGCUUUUGUGUGUGUGUAUAAUCCCCCAAACUCAUUUCACUUUUAUUAAUGUACUAUUUGUGUCCUUAAAAAGAUUAAUACACAUUUAAUUGAU